rfam:Lottia gigantea unplaced genomic scaffold LOTGIsca_2, whole genome shotgun sequence.
GAUCCCAUUAAAGUGGUUGUGAUGUGUUAAAUUCAUCAUAUCACAGCCAGCUUUGAUGAGUUCUU